UGGGGAAUAUUGGACAAUGGGCGAAAGCCUGAUCCAGCCAUGCCGCGUGUGUGAAGAAGGUCUUCGGAUUGUAAAGCACUUUAAGUUGGGAGGAAGGGCAGUAAGCGAAUACCUUGCUGUUUUGACGUUACCGACAGAAUAAGCACCGGCUAACUCGGUGCCAGCAGCCGCGGUAAUACAGAGGGUGCAAGCGUGAAUCGGAAUUACUGGGCGUAAAGCGCGCGUAGGUGGUUCGUUAAGUUGAAUGUGAAAGCCCCGGGCUCAACCUGGGAACUGCAUCCAAAACUGGCGAGCUAGAGUAGGGCAGAGGGUGGUGGAAUUUCCUGUGUAGCGGUGAAAUGCGUAGAUAUAGGAAGGAACACCAGUGGCGAAGGCGACCACCUGGGCUCAUACUGACACUGAGGUGCGAAAGCGUGGGGAGCAAACAGG
rnacentral:rRNA from 1 species